rnacentral:misc_RNA from 1 species
UUUCAUUUGAAAAUUUAGAAAGUUCAAUUUGUGUAUUUGCUGAGGAAAGUAGGUUACGACCUUGAACUAUAACCAGCAGGUCUGCUAACAUGGCCAUGCUGUUGAUCCACAGUUAUUAUCGCAUGAUAUUAUAUUUGUGAGAUGCUCUGAGGAUCUCUACAAUUUGGUUUCUAAACUUUUGCUGCAAUCACUAUUGAGCUUUGUUGCUCCAUGUUGCCUACUAGUCAUUGCUGUACUAAUGCUUCGAUGGGAAUGCAUAUAUUGUUAGAACUUAAGUUGUGUGAUGGUGCCAUUGUAUCAUUUAGAUAACUUUAUAGUUAGAAGUAUUACCUUGAAGCAGCAGCAUAGCUUGAAUGAGUUGUUUUCUCUAAAUUUCU